rnacentral:lncRNA from 1 species
CUUUCCCUGUCAACCUUCCCAAGGAGAGAUAAAGGAGGAAAAGCAUUGGACAUAGCAUAACAUAAUAAUCUCAUAGCAUAAUUUCAUAAUCUAAUUCCUAAAACAGCACAUAGCGUAAUUUUCUAGGAGCAGUCCCUCCCCACCCCCACAUACACUUUGCUGGGGGAAACGCACCUGUCGAACUUCUGCCUGUCACAAAGCUGUCGAAGCGUUUUCUCUCUCAAGAAAGCACCCUCACCACUACCCUGAUCCGGCGGGGAGAAAUCUGACUUUUGUUUUCGUUGGUGGCUAGUAGUGGGUCAGUUUUGGCCACCAGAGGGCCCUGGCCAUUUGCUCAGGGAAAGCCCAAACGCCGCCUCUCUUGCAUUGCUCCUUCUGCUCCCCUUUUGGCAAAAGGAGCCACGUUUCCUCCCAUCCCCGAUUCUGUAUCCGGGCCUUGCUCAUGGGAACGGAUCACUCAGUUUCCCUGGGCCUCAUCUCAGCUUGACCAUGGACUCUGGAGUAGAGAAAAAAUUUUCUGCUGAGGAGAAAAUAAAGGAGACCUCUGAGGGUGAUCUUAAAAAAGGGAGAGAGAAUGGCGAAGAUGGACUUGAUGAGACAAAGGGUGCUGAGGAGAGGGGGAGUGAAGAUCAUAAAGAAGAGAAAGGAGCAACCGGCAAUCAUUUAGUGGACUUGGAGCAGCAUUUUUCUCCCAUUACCAGUCAGUUGGCAUCUGCUUCCCAAGCAACUCCUUCUCUCGCUGUGUUGCCACAGCAGGAUAAUGAGGUAAGUGUGCGUUAAGUUUUUGACACCGAACACUGAUAUGGUGGCAUGGCUCAGAUGAGGACUCACUCCUAGGAGAUCACAUUUUCUGUACACCUGCAUCAUGGUGGCUGCCUGGGUAAAAUAGCUAGAGACAACAAUGAAGGAUUUGAGAGUAGUUUAGCAGCAUCUGGAGAGCUGCCGAUUCUCCACCCUUGAGAUAUAAUGAAUUUCAGUUAUAAGAACUGAAUCCAACUGAAGAAGAACAUGAUUAUGAUACAGCAUGCCAUCA